UACGUAGGGGGCUAGCGUUGUCCGGAAUCAUUGGGCGUAAAGAGCGUGUAGGCGGUCCGGUAAGUCCGCUGUGAAAGUCGGGGGCUCAACCCUCGAAUGCCGGUGGAUACUGUCGGGCUAGAGUACGGAAGAGGCGAGUGGAAUUCCUGGUGUAGCGGUGAAAUGCGCAGAUAUCAGGAGGAGCACCGGUGGCGAAGGCGGGUCUCUGGGCCGAUAUUGACGCUGAGGAGCGAAAGCGUGGGGAGCAAACAGG
rnacentral:rRNA from 1 species